GCUCCAGACUCCUACGGGAGGCAGCAGUGAGGAAUAUUGGUCAAUGGCCGGAAGGCUGAACCAGCCAAGCCGCGUGAGGGAGGAAGGCGCAGAGCGUCGCAGACCUCUUUUGCCGGGGGACAAAAGGCCGGACUCGUCCGGUCCUGAGGGUACCCGGAGAAAAAGCAUCGGGUAACUCCGUGCCAGCAGCCGCGGUAAUACGGAGGAUGCGAGCGUUAUCCGGAUUCAUUGGGUUUAAAGGGUGCGCAGGGGGGGCGUUUGGGGGGGGGGGGAAGGCGGGGGGCCAACCCCCGCCGAGCCGUCGGAACUGGGGGCCUUGAGUGCGGCGGAGGCAUGCGGAAUGCGCGGUGUAGCGGUGAAAUGCAUAGAUAUCGCGCAGAACCCCGAUUGCGAAGGCAGCGUGUCGUGCCGCCACUGACGCUGAGGCACGAAAGCGCGGGGAUCGAACAGGAUUAGAUACCCUUGUAC
rnacentral:rRNA from 1 species